UUAGGGCAGAGACACACGUGGAGAUUUGGGGAGUCGCCGGGUAACAAAUCGGCUCUUCUUCACGACUAAUCUGCCCUUACCACCGGCUGGAAUAUAAAUCAGCAGCGGGAUGGCACUCGGAUCGGUUAAUUUUCUAAAGUUUCCUGGCGACUUUGGAAAACUAAGUGCUCAGAGUGCCAUCUUGCCGGCGAUUGAGAUUCUAGCUGGUGGGAAGGCUUUUUAGGGAGAUUAGUCACCCGAAGAAGAGGCGAUUUGUCACCGAAUCUCCACGUGCGCCUCUGCCCUUACUGUUGAAAGUUGAUUGGUUUCUAUGGGUUUAGCUGACCAUAUACAAGCUGAUAAUUGUUGCUGACCUGGCCCUUCCAGACAAAGUUGCUAGUUUAUUGGUUCAUAGAUGGGGCAAACCAAUGGCCUGCACAGCAAGCCUCCACUGCUGCUUAAACUGGCAGCCUACAGGAGACUCUGUUUGGCAGUACACAUGGUUUUUAUGCAAAACUUGUCCGCAAACCAGGAAUUCAAAAAUAAGCACCUGCUUUGAGGCCACCAGGAGCAACAUUCAAGGGAGUUGGUGAGCAACAUGUUGCUCAAGAGAUACAGGUUGGAGAUUACUGCUUUAGGGUGUUCCCACUGUGCUGUUGUACAGGGUGCCAUAAGGAAAGGUGGCUCUGUCUAUAAAACUUGAAAUACACAAACUACAGUAAAAUGUGUAAUUUUGUUUUUUUUUUCUUUUUAAAGAUAUCAUCCUUCAAAAGUUAUGGGUAACAUAGGCAGCUUUGGUAUGUGUUUCCAGUGGCUGCUUACUGUUGAAAGUUGAUUGGUUUCUAUGGGUUAGUUGACCAUAUACAAGCUGAUAAUUGCUGCUGACUCGGCCCUUCCAGACAAAGUUGUUAGCUUAUUGGUUCAUGGAUGGGGCAAACCAAUGGCCUGCACAGCAAGGCUCCACUGCUGCUUAAACCGGCAGCCUACAGGAGACUCUGUUUGGCAGUACUCAUGGUUUUUAUGCGCAGAAGCAUGCACCCACGGCUUAACACCACUUAGCUUUAAACCAUGCUGUUUAUAUAUCCUGUAUAACAAAGCAUCUGGGACACAUGGACUCCUGCCUUCCCCCAUUAAUAGUAAGACGGCAGCUGGGGGAUUACAGUUUCCAUGGGUCACCGUAACUUCUGUUUGGGCAUAGCGCCAACUUUAGUUCUCUCCUCACUUUCUCUCUUCCCCUUUGCUGUAUGGCUAUUACUUACCUUGGCCUGCCAACUCUUUGAUCUUCCAAAUUCAGUUUUUGAUCGUCCUAUCAUAUGUUUGUGCAAAGAACAACCUUUUUUGCAAAUCUUUAAAUUAAAGUUAUCCAUCCUAAAAACUAGAUGGGGAGCAGCAAAUGAUGUUAGCUGAGGUUUUCUUUUAGUGACCUUCCCCACAUUGAUCCAAGGCUCCAAACUUCCCUUUACUUAGGAAAUGUGCACAAAUAUAGAAUAAUAUGGUGUAUCGUUAUUUUAGUCAUAGCUCCAGCAAAUAAAUAUUCACUUCAAAUCUCAAGAUGGCUCGUCAGAUGUAUCUCAGGAGGUUCACGGCCACAAUUCCCAAUCUCCAAGCUAGCCAAGGGGGCACCAAUGUGUUAUUGAUACAAAGGACUUCAUCCAGAUCCCUUAAUUGAAUGAAUUGCACAGAUUGGAUAAAGAAGUUGAACUACUUAUUCCAGCAUUGGGUUGCUUGGGAGUUGUAGUUCCACCACAGCUGGAGAGUUGACUUGAAGGUGGCUGGAAUUAGAAGUUUCAUUUUAAAUUAAAACAGACGGCAAUACCAUAAAAAUGCUGUGCCACCAGAGAGUUGAACGCAACCUAUCGCCCUUAUCAAGCUAACCAUUUCCUGUUGUGCUGUUUUAAUGUCUUACAGAUUUUCUUGUAAAUCUGCUUUUGCUUUCAGGCGCUGUUGGAAAGUAGUCUUGUAGAGAAAGGUGACAUUUUCCUUUGUCAUCGUUUCCCUUGUUCAGCCCGGCAACUUGUUUAUACACAGAUUCCCAUUAUACAGAGAAAAUAAAUGUCUUUAUCCUUCA